AUGAAUUCGGCUGCUGGCGAGGACUCACUCCCACAGUCUGACACAAUAGGUCUUCCCUUCGGGACCUCAAAAAGGACUGUCCAUGCAUCUGGUGCUUGAUGGAUCUUCGGGAGGAGAUAGAGUCUCUGUCUGGGCCCACCCUCCCCGUCUCAUCGAUGACCAUCCAGCAUACAAGGUGAGAUGCCUCCUGAGUGUUCGACCUCAGGGCAGGGGUUUCCAGUACCUGGUUACUGGGAGGGUUAUGGCCGGAGGAGAGGUGCUGGGUCCCUGCUAAGGACAUCCUGGACCCGGUCAACCACCGGCAUCCCGUUCAACAAGUCCUCCCAGUUCCGACCUUUUCUGCCUGCCCUGACGUCGAGCCUGCCUGCCGUCCUGUACCCAACUGACUCUGACCUGGUUUACAAACUUCUGCUUGUCCUCAACCUGCGUCUUGCCUGCCCCUUGUCUUUUAAUAAACAUCAGAGACUCAAACCAUCUGCCUCCUGUGUCUGUAUUUGGGUCUCGUCCUGUGUCGUUAUAGUAGGUGUCAUGUCAUGGUAACCAAUUACACAAAUAUAGUUUAA
rnacentral:lncRNA from 1 species